CAUGUUGGUUGAAAUCAUCCAGAUUAAAGCAGGUGUAUCAGGUUGAAACAGAUCUUACAGGGACAUUUCAUUAAGUACCAUUAUUUGAAACUCUAAUUAGACAAUUUCCCUGUGAGAACAUCUAAACUACACAGACAUGGAGAGAUGAUUACACUCAUAGGCAGUCCUAUUUUCACUAACAAACCAUAUUAAUAGUGGCUACCCGAAUGCAUACAAAUAUGAUCAUCUACACAUACAUCCACAAAAAAAAAAGAAAAAAAAAAGUUGCCCUGUCUUCUUAAACACCCCAGUCACCAGAAGAGUUAAAGCAGAUCCAGUGACGACAUAAGAGAGACAUGCAUAGUGGCUGACUGAAGUUUGUGUGUGUGUUUGUGUUUGUGUGU